UUAAAGCUCACAAAUGUAUCUGCAGUUUUUCCCAUUUUUGGUAUUUUUAUAAGGACAACCCCUUCAGGGGUCCCAGUUCACCUUUGCAUCUACAAUACCUUUACCACCAAUAAUAUUGAUACAUUUUCAUAUUUCUAAUAUUCAGGCAAAUCAAAUGGGAAUAUUUCUAGUUGACCCAAGGAAAAGCUGCUUUUAAUGUGUAUUCAGCUAUCAAAUAAAAACCUUCAAACAAUGGAAUGACAGGUGUGCAGUCUGAGAACUGGAGAUUGAUGUCUAUAGACUGGACACUAUCUUAACACCAGGAGGCCUGCUUCUGAGUAGGGAGAAGCUUUCCAAUGUUUCGCCAAAGCCCUGGGAAUACAGAAGUCCAUAAGAGAGCAGUCUUCUGUCUGUAUGUAAAUAAUUUUCUGUGAAAGAAAGCCAAACAAUAUCAAUUUACUUUAGGGUUAUAUCAACACACCAAUAUCCAAUUUCCUUGUGCUAACUGAUCCAAAAGGGGGCAGGCUGUAUCAUUUGGGAACUGUCUGUCUCUUGCUGAAGUGGUAAGAAAAAACUGUUGUUAAAUUAAGAAUGAGAAUUUUCAGAAAGGCCAUGGUGAACGUUCAUCACCCUUAGAUGCAGAAUGCCUUAGGCUUUCUCUGAAGGGUGUAUUUGGGGAAAUGAUAUCUAAAUUCGAUGAUAGUCUCUCUAAGUACAUGCAAAACAGUUCAUCUUCAAUAAAAAGACCCAGGAUCACUCUGCAGUGAAGUUACAAUAGGCAGAGCUGGGAACACAGACCACUGUUGCUUUCCUUUCCUGGAAACCUACCUGUGUGCUUCCCCUGAACUCAAGGAUGAGCUUGCUGGCCACAUUCCGCUUACCUCUCACAGUCGGACAAUCAUGAAUUACCAUAUCAUGAUACAAGCCUAGAACUGACACCGCUUUUGGAUAUGACUCUCUUUUAAUCCACAGACAGGUUACGCUGCACACCACGAGAAGCAAAGGGGUGGCUAGUUCUGUAUGUGCCGUCAAAGCACCCCACCCCAAAGUAGUGGGUGGGACAGGAGACAAGGUUCAUAAAGACAAAAGGCAAAGUAACAUCAGUGAGGCUUUAAUUUGGCCAUUGCUGGUACUUUGCUUCACAAUAUUAUGUUAAUAUAUGUCUCUCUGUUCAAAUCAGAACAGUUCUUUUGAUGUUGUCUUUGAAUUCAGAAAUAUUUACUAUUCAUCAUCAGACACAGACAUAUGAAACACUGCCUAUUGCAUGACUAUCUCUUAAGGGCAGCAGUGGUAGUCGAAUAGUCCAAGCACGUGAUGGAGUGGCUACCCGAGACGAGAGAAGCCUAAUACAAAUAAAGAAGAACAAACAAGUCCAGAAUUUAACGGAUUACUCGGAAGCCCUUGGUUGGUGAGUUCGCACAUGUGUCUGGGGCAGCUGUCUUGUUGGCUGGAAAUUAGAAGAUCUGGGAUGGUCUCGACUUGGAUGGGAAAGUUCUCCACGUGCCUGUAUCAUAGAAUGUUCUUAUGGGGAUCAUAAGCAAGGCACUACAAAAUUUUUUCAAAGUCAUUUGCAUCUGAUUUGCUGCUUUUGCAUUGGUUAAUGCCACAGGAGGCUCGAUUGCCAUUGGUGGCAGAUUUAUCUUCUGGCCUUAUGCUACAGAAAAGAAACUCACAGUAAGUUGAUGUGAAACAAAAUGGAAUUUAUUAAGCAAGGUGGGCUUGACCCUGGAAGAAGAUAGAUUCCCAAGGCUUAGAGAGGGACAGAGACUCACAACCGCCACUCACAACUGUCUAUAACUCCAGUUCUAGGAUAUCUGACACCUUCUAGCUUCUGUGGGCAUCAGCACACAGACACACAUGUAGGCAAAUACUCAGACACACACAAAUAAUAAUAAAAACAUUUUAACAACAGAGGGAUAUAUCCUCAUGUGGGCACUAAGGAAGAUGCAUGCCUACAUGUCUUAACAAUAGUUAUAGAUGCGAUUUUGUUACUUUUGAAAUUAUACUGUUCAAAGAAUAUGAUUUAUGGCUCUGAAUUUAAAAAGUGAGUGAAGUGUUAAAAUUAAGUGAAAAGAAGGUAAAGCCAUUUUAUUCUUAUCUUUAUUAAAGAAAGAACAUUACAUAUUACAAAAAGAAAGAAAUGCCAGGGAGAUUUAAAGUCAAAGGUCACAGAGUUUAAGACAUGUGCAGUACGGUCUCUGCACAGGCUGUGUUUGUGGUGGUUUGGUCUCUUGGGUUGAAAUUCUUGGGACACUCGGCCACCAAGGGACAGAAAGCAGAGCAAGGAUUCAGGAGCUUUUUCUGUUCCCAAGUCCCAUUCCUUCUCCCUGUGUUCUAUCCUUCCUCGGGAAGCCACUGCAGAAGAGCUCGGAUGACUAAUUCACCCACAGAGAUAAUCAGUCCAUACCUAAUUUUUCAUUGUGAAUUGUAGAAAAUUUUGAAAUCCUGAAAGGUAUAUAAUUCACCACAUUUCAGUAUCUAGAACAAAAUAGCCAACCAUCUUCCUCCCCUGUCAUUUUCUCUAAUUAUAUAUUGCACAUUUUCUCAAUUAUCACACGGCACGUACUUUCAUAAGUGAGAAUGCUCUUAAGCACCCUGCUUCUUUUAAGCCUGUACAACUCUCUGACUUACUGUUUUGCUGUAUUAAUUUAAAACAUUUUCUAAUUAUGAAACCUUUCCGAUAUACAAGAUUGCAUCCCGAGGAAAGCUCAUUUAACUGGAAAUUAGCGGGUCAAUCAUUCUGAAGUCUCGCAUUGCCUCUGCCCAAAGUUCUUUUGUGGAACAUUUGUUCUAGUCCCUACUCUCAAUCACAGAAACAGAGUGCCCUCUCCAACCAUUAGUACUUGCCUGUUUUAUUGUAUUUAGAUGAUAAGAACGAAGGCAAUUACUUAUACAGACCAGAGUCAGGAAGUCGACCUGCAAGAUGACCUAACACAGGGCUGGGCAUUAGACAAGUUCCAUAUAAAUAUUCGUUCUUUUUUUUUUUUUUUUUCGGAGCUGGGGACUGCCAUAUAAAUAUUCGUAAAAGGCUUAGAUCUGUGUUUGCAUUAACCCACGUGACCACUCAUGGUUGUAUUUAAUGUUCAUGGUUAUGGUUUCUUUCCCCCCUCUUUUCUCCCUCCUUCCCUCUGUUCAUUUCCUUUCUCUGUGUUAUUCUUUUGUUUCUCCUAUCAGUGUCUAGUUUCACAUUCUAUUUUAUAAUUACUAUGUUCACAGUUCUUUCAGAGAACGCUUUGGGGAAUUGCCCUAAAUUAAGCAAACUAAAUUACUAGUUUCCAGGUCUUCAGAUCCCCACAAUUGUACUCACUAAUGCAGUGGGAAAGGAAAACCAAGAUCCCAAGACAAAGGCAGGUCUGCACCAACCUUUCAACAUUUUUAAGUGUGUUCAUUCUCUUACGACUGCAUCUCUCCUGAUUACUGAAGAUUUUUCUAUUUCUUCUCAAAUGUCAAAGGUAAAGUUUGCCCAGAUUAAUCUUAAAAGUCUGCUGUAUCUGGCGGUGAUACACUAACUAGGACCCCCUGUCAGUUGUCCUCUCAUCCUGCGGCUGUGCUGGCUCUGUCGGGGAGAUGGGAGAGUUUCUCCCACCUUGAUAAGAAGCCGUAAUUGUUUGUUUUUGAUCAAGAGUGGCGCCAAACACCAACGUGACUGUGUGUGGAAGACAAAUGUGUUCACCCCUCACUUUGUUUUAUUGGCAACAAUUAAGUUGAUUUAAAAAUAAAUCUAUGCCGCCCCUGUGUGCACACCAUACUCCGACAUUCGUAAUUGCUCCCCGUGUGUAAUGGCCUAGAUGUUAAUUUUAGAUAGUUGGGAUGGCAAGCCAUAUAUUUUUAAACCAUGGAGUCAUUUUUAAUUAAUGUCUAUUUGUUUUAAUUCUGAAGCUCUGUUGAAAUAAUAAUAGAAGUUUAAAGCACAAGCUAUGGCAACAAAGAUACGUGAAUCCAUCCUACUGGCUGUAAAUUACUUGUGGAAUCUUUAUGACUUUUUAAACAAAAAUUAUUAUUAAUAAACAGAAUAUUAUUUAAAGCAUUUUUAUUAAAUUUGCCUCUGGCUUCUUCCCACAAGAGGCCAAUGUUGCAGUUCCAUUUCAUUUUCUAUGAAGGCAAGGGAUGGGGUAAUUUGAAAACUCAACUCAAAGGGAAAGAUGGUUGUGUCACUCAUGUAUACUAAAGUUCUACUUGAGAUCUGUAGCCAUUAAUUAAAACGUGACCCAUCGGGAUGCUUCCGGCGCUUUGUUCCGCUAUAAUGAGCUGCCCCGUUCCGCGCAGUCACACACAGAGCAGGUAGAUCCGUUGGCAUAACCACACAAGAGCCGUACUAAACAUGGAGUUAGGGGAAAGGGAGCUGAGAGCAUACGUAAGAGCAGGAAGCAGAGCCAUGUAAAGAGCACAAAGAGCAGAAAGGAACGUAGACUGAAGGAUGCUGGUCCUGGAA